rnacentral:rRNA from 1 species
AGUGAACGCUGGCGGUAGGCCUAACACAUGCAAGUCGAACGGCAGCACAGUAAGAGCUUGCUCUUACGGGUGGCGAGUGGCGGACGGGUGAGGAAUACAUCGGAAUCUACUUUUUCGUGGGGGAUAACGUAGGGAAACUUACGCUAAUACCGCAUACGACCUACGGGUGAAAGCAGGGGAUCUUCGGACCUUGCGCGAUUGAAUGAGCCGAUGUCGGAUUAGCUAGUUGGCGGGGUAAAGGCCCACCAAGGCGACGAUCCGUAGCUGGUCUGAGAGGAUGAUCAGCCACACUGGAACUGAGACACGGUCCAGACUCCUACGGGAGGCAGCAGUGGGGAAUAUUGGACAAGGGGCGAAAGCCUGAUCCAGCCAUACCGCGUGGGUGAAGAAGGCCUUCGGGUUGUAAAGCCCCUUUGUUGGGAAAGAAAAGCAGCAGGUUAAUACCCCGCUGUUCUGACGGUACCCAAAGAAUAAGCACCGGCUAACUUCGUG